GAUGAACGCUGGCGGCGUGCCUAAUACAUGCAAGUCGAGCGAACGGACGAGAAGCUUGCUUCUCUGAUGUUAGCGGCGGACGGGUGAGUAACACGUGGAUAACCUACCUAUAAGACUGGGAUAACUUCGGGGAACCGGAGCUAAUACCGGAUAAUAUUUUGAACCGCAUGGUUCAAAAGUGAAAGACGGUCUUGCUGUCACUUAGAGAUGGAUCCGCGCUGGAUUAGCUAGUUGGUAAGGUAACGGCUUACCAAGGCAACGAUGCAUAGCCGACCUGAGAGGGUGAUCAGCCACACUGGAACUGAGACACGGUCCAGACUCCUACGGGAGGCAGCAGUAGGGAAUCUUCCGCAAUGGGCGAAAGCCUGACGGAGCCACGCCGCGUGAGUGAUGAAGGUCUUCGGAUCGUAAAACUCUGUUAUUAGGGAAGAACAUAUGUGUAAGUAACUGUGCCCAUCUUGACGUUACCUAAUCAGAAAGCCACGGCUAACUACGUG
rnacentral:rRNA from 1 species